CCAUUCAUGGGCGCAGCCUGAUGCAGCCAUGCCGCGUGUGUGAAGAAGGCCUUCUGGUUGUAAAGUACUUUCAGCGGGGAGGAAGGUGCUUUAGAUAAUACCCUCAGAUAUUGAACUUUCCCCCCAAAAAAACCCCCGCUUACUUCUGGGCCACCACCCCCGUAAAUACGAAGGGGGCAGCCGUUAUCCGAAUUUAUGGGCGUAAAAGCGCGCGUAGGCGGCUGUUUAAUCCGAAGGGAAAUCCCCCGACUUUACCUGGGAACUGGCAUUCAAACUGGGUUACUUAAAUCGUGGAAAAGGAUGUAAAAAUUCCAGGUGUACCGUGAAAAUGCUAAAAGAUCUGAAGAAACCCGUGGGCAAAGGCGCCCCCUGGACCUAACUGGACCCUGAUGUGAAAAAGUGGGGGAGCACAGGAUUUAUACCCCCUGGUACCCCAUGCCGUACAAUGUGUCUACUAAGGUUUGGCCCCUUUGACGCUUUUUCGGCGCCUAUAACGCUAUAUCUACACCCCGUGGAGAACACGGUCACAGUAAUAACUCUCAUAUGUUUUGAGGG
rnacentral:rRNA from 1 species